rnacentral:tRNA from 1 species
GGGAGAGUGGUGGAACUGGUAUACACGAGGGACUUAAAAUCCCUUGGCUGAAAAGCCUUGAGGGUUCGAAUCCCUUCUCUCCCA